rnacentral:misc_RNA from 1 species
GGGCUGGUGAUGGUUGGCUGUG